CGCACACAACGCAUCAACAGGUCACGCUGCUGUGAAGGCACCUGCACACAGACAUACAUACACGUGCAUAUACGACCGUCUGUGCGAGCGAGGGAGCACACACACACACACACACACACAAAGGAGGCACUCCGGCAGCAGUGGGUAUUCGGUGCACACGCCAUCAAGCACAUCCCUUCUCCGCCAUCGCUCGUACAAGGCACCUCCUCGCUCCUUCCGGAUUUCUCCCCUAGCAACACUUCGUUAUUUUUCCUUGCUGGUGUUGUUUAAAUACAUCCUCCUUUCCCCUGCUGACUUUAUCUAUCUGCCUGCCUCACCGUCUCUGUGCCACCGCUCUGCUGCCGUUGAUACUGGGCGCUUCGUCUUCUUGCAGCUGCCCUCCCUCUGCCUGUCUGUUUCUGGCGGCUCGCUAGAAACACGUGCGUGCGCGAUCUUGUGCCGUAUCAAAGGCCGCUUGGCCAGCUUGAAAUGUUCUACAGUCUCUUCCGCCGCCCCUACACCGCGCGCAGCGUACCAGCAACUUUAGGUUGUCAUGCGAGCGGAGAAAGCGGCACCACGGCGGCGCCGGCAGGGGCAAACGACUCGCGCAACGGCAAUGCGGGCCCGAGCCCGCUCACCCCGAGUGGGGCAGCAGCAACGAAUGCCCCGCCGCACCCGAACGGCAGCGCUGCAUCGCCUGUGGCCCAAGGUGGUGAUCGUCGCGUCUUUGAAGGCGAGGAGCGUCUGCUCGGGCACCUGCACGCGCCACGACAGUACCCGCUAGACCCAGAGAAAGAUGCCGAUGCGCUCGUCCUGCUGGCACAGCAGUACUCCAUCACCUCCGUGGUUAUCACCCACUACCGCGUCAAGGAGAGUUACGUGGAGUACGUUAUCGAGUGCGUGCGCGGCCACGACGCCUGGCGCGUCUAUCGGCGAUAUCAGCAGUUCAAGGCGCUUGACCACGAUCUUAAGCAGAUCUGCAGCAGCCGGCACGGGUCAAGCCACGGGGCCUACGGUGUCGUGCCGGUACUUCCGGGCAGCCACUGGAUGGAUGUGACGAACCAGAGCCCGGAGCUGGUCGAACAGCGGCGCCGUUACCUAGAGAUCUACCUCCAGCAGCUGCUCGUGCCGAGGAAUCUCUUCUACGUGGCUCGCACCCAGCUUUACGACUUUCUGCACGACGGCGAGGUGCCCACGCACCUGAAGCUCACUGGCAUUCAGCCGCUCCUGGGGCUAAUCAGCACGCACACUGACCUUGUGAACGACGAGGACGACGAUGACGCGGUUCUUCGCGAGCUGCAGGAGACGCAGUCCCGUCAACAGAAGCAGUAUCUCCGCGCUGCUGAAAGGGCGGCGACGGUUGUGUCAGGAAUCGCGGCUGAUGCAGCCCUUCCGCUUCUCAGGGCGAGCGGCUCUUUCCCUGCGGUCCCAACUGAUUGCGCGAGUCACGCAGGAGCCGCCGCGGCCGCAAGUUCUCCUGUGGCCCCCGGUAGCGGAAGAGUGGAGGCGGGAAGUCUGGAGGCCACAGCCGCCACAACCAGGACAACAUCGUCAAUGCCCAGCAGCGCCGCUACCUUCGCCACGAACAGGGAGCCGUCGAAGACACUCGCCACGAGAGGGGUGUGCACAGGCACUCAGACAACCGGCGCGGCCGUCGUGGAUGAGGCGGGCGAUGACGGGGAAGCGAACGGUGCAGAGGGGCGAUCCGACUGCGUGGACAACACGAGCAAGAUGAGGCUGACGACGAAGUCUGCGCACAGCCGCGUAGGUGGGGCUGCGUUUACAGCGGCAGAUCCCAUGCAGGCGGGCUUCUCAGAUGAGCGGCUGCCCCCAGCGUCGGCGAACUGCGCGCAGUGCAACGCCGAGUUUACCUCCUUCCUGUACCCGCGCCGGUGCUUUUUCUGCCUGGUCCAGUUCUGCUCUGCUUGCCUGCAGCAGCUGCCAGUGCUUGAAAGCGCGUCGUCGCCGGGGCGCGCAUUGGCCACGACCACGGGUCGCAGCGACCCCGUGCAUUUCCUGGUGCAGGAAACAACACCGUUAUCUACACACGCAAAGGCUGCCGGGAGCACGGUUCCCGCCUGCCUUCAGUGUGCGGAGAACUACAGUCGCCGUCUCGACCGCUGUAGCACCGCUCCUGGUGGCGGCGCCUACAGGGGCAUGCAGUCAACGCUCAGUACGCUGGCCCAGCAAGGCCCGCCGGCGCCAUCGGGCCGUCCCUCGCAGUCGUCCCCUGUGGUGGGCUUAUCGCCGGCCACCAGCACGCGCAGCUGCGUUGGAGAGGAGCGCAGCCCGGUGAUAGUGCACCAGCGCGUGACCAACCCCGCAUCACCCAUCCCGCACCCCUCGCUCUCGUCGCCUGGGGGCGCCUUACCCGGCCGAAGUGGCACCCCGUCACCUGUCGGCUUCCAGGACUUUCAACUACUCACUGUCAUUGGGCGGGGCACAUUCGGAAAGGUGCUCAAGGUUCAGAUGCGCGCAACGCACAAGGUGUACGCCAUGAAGAUCAUGAACAAGGCGACCGUGUACCGGCGGUGCAUGACAUCCUACAUGAAGGAGGAAAAGGCCAUCUUGACAAGCUUACAACCGAGCCCGUACAUUGUGCGCUGCCACUACGCGUUCCAAACAGAGUACUACCUCGUCUUUGUCCUUGACUACCUUCCCGGUGGCGAGCUGUACGACUACAUCUACCCCAAACUCUGCCUUUCACCCGAGGCAGCGUGCAUCUACGCGGCAGAGCUUGUCCUGGCGCUGGAGUGCUUGCACCGCCAGGAUGUGGUGCACCGCGACUUGAAGCCAGAGAAUGUUGUGCUGACGGCGGAUGGACACAUCUGCUUGACGGACUUUGGCCUUGCCCGCCGCGCAUUCUCGCGCAGCCGCCGGCGCAGCUUCGUCGGCAGCCCCGAGUACGUGGCGCCGGAGACGAUCCAGGGCCAGGUGCAGACGGCUGCCGUGGACUGGUGGAGCUUUGGGGUAAUGCUGUACGAAAUGCUGGCUGGCAGAACUCCGUUCCACGCGCGAAACAACAAUACGGUCUACGACAACGUUCUUCACAAGGAGCUAGCACUGCCGGUGCUGCGUGCCGACAACGGCACAGGCGCUGCUGCGGCUUCGGCGUCGCAGCCCGGCGUAGCCAAGGGGGCGCCCACGUUCAGAGGCUUUUCCCCGGAGGCGGUGUCGCUGUUGACGGGUCUGCUUGCUCGAGAUCCGUCGACGCGACUGCAGGAUGCGAGCGCGAUCAAGCGGCACCCCUUCUUUCACGGCCUCAACUGGGAGGACUUGCGGCGCCGCCGCGUGCCGGCCCCCUGCAUCCCGGGUGACAUGCGUGACAACGACGUGCGACACUUCAAGCGCGAAUUUGUGUCGGAGUGGGCCUCAGUGCCGCCGCUCACCAACAUGACGCGGGCCUCCAUAGAGGCACUCACGAAAUGCUUCGAUAACUUCCCGCUGAGCCGCACUGCCGCGCCUGCCGGGUUCGCACUGGUGGGUAACGCCAAUACCAUGCCCACUUCCUCCGCAACCGCCACCACGUCGCUCGCCUCUCAUUCACUGCAACAGGUGCAUGGUGACACGUGCACCUCGUCCCUCUCGCUGACAUUGCCGCCGUCUGAGCACGCCACUGACGAUCAGAGGCUUCGUGAGCCGGUGCGCUUCUUUCAUUCCAUGGCGGAGGCGCAGCGGAGCUUCCACGGCACGUGGCACGUCGUCUCUAUCGAGGUGCACGCUGUGGAUGACGGCAGGGUCAUCUUUCCGUGGGGUGGCGAUGUGUCAGGGGUUCUCGUGUACACUACUGGCGGUCGCUUCAGUCUGCAGCUGACGUCGAGUGCUCGGCGCCCCGUUGGCCCGGUGCAGCGCGUGACGCAGCUGUCAAAGGAGGACUUGUGCGACACGUACUGCUCCUACGUGGCAAGCUUUGGCCGCUUCCACCUCUUUCCAUCCUCGACGGACGACGGCUGCGGCGUCGUGCGGCACUUCUCGGAGGGCAACCUGUGCCCGAACUUGAUGCUCGCCAAUACCGUUUUCCAGUACCGCAUGCAUACCGAACCACUGCAUCCGUCGGCCACCAAUGGAGAGUCAGAGUACAAGGGCAGCGGCAAGCACGCCGACACCGCCUCGUCCACCGCCGCCGCGGUGACCUGGGCUCGCAGGUCGAGCACGACAGACGCGCAGGACGGCAGCGGUGGCGGCGCCAGCGGUAACAGCGGACGCGUCGGCGAAGGCGGGUCUCUCGGCGGCUCAGAGGACGAGGAGGGUGAGGCGGGGAGGGGCAGCAACAGGAUUGCCAUCGUCGGGGAUGCCGGCCACCGACAUGGCAGAGACGCUGCGGCUGCCACAACGCAGCCGCCACCCUCGCCGCCGCCUCUGGAGCGCCGCAUCAUGCUACGCCUCUCGACCCGGCCACAGCGCGCCCUGGAGCAGGACUUUCUCGCCUUCACCUCUCUUGUCUUUGAGAAGGUGUCGUAGCGGUGGGCGUGUGCCGGUGAGAUGCCUUUGCGUAGGCGAACGGCGUUGAUGCCUGUCUGACAAGUCCCUCCUCCGAGUUCGCUCCGCCCCGUCUCAGCGUUCUGCCUCACUUUCCUGCUGUCCGGAUGUCUCGUGUUGCUUCUCUCUUUCUCCCCUUCGACCAGAACGUUUUUUUUUUCUUCGUGCCGUCUUCUCCAACGCCUGUCCUGUGUGUCUGUGUGUGCUUCUCCCUGCCCGUGUCUCGCUGCUUCUCGUCCGUUGUGGCGAUUGACGGGUGUGGACGCCAGUGCCGGGGGCGAGUCACGCAUCAGCAGACCGGACGCACGGAAAGGGUACCGUAGAGUAUCACAAAGAGACACGGACACGGACAGAGCAGCAGCUGCCACCGUCCUCCCCCGUGCGGCAUUCCUCCGCGCUUGGCACGUGGAGGAAUGCGCUGCUUUCACAUCCCUUCUUUGCAGUGGGUGGCCAUGC
rnacentral:misc_RNA from 1 species